rnacentral:tRNA from 1 species
CGCGGGAUGGAGCAGUUUGGUAGCUCGUUGGGCUCAUAACCCGAAGGUCAGAGGUUCGAAUCCUCUUCCCGCAACCA